rnacentral:rRNA from 1 species
AGUCAUAUGCUUGUCUCAAAGAUUAAGCCAUGCAUGUCUCAGUACAAGCCGAAUUAAGGUGAAACCGCGAAAGGCUCAUUAAAUCAGUUAUGGUUCCUUAGAUCGUACACACAUUUACUUGGAUAACUGUGGUAAUUCUAGAGCUAAUACAUGCAAAUAGAGUUCCGACCGGAGACGGAAGGAGCGCUUUUAUUAGAUCAAAACCAAUCGGUGGCAAGUUUGUCACCGUACAUUUUGGUGAAUCUGAAUAACUUACUGCUGAUCGCACGGUCUUGCACCGGCGACGCAUCUUUCAAAUGUCUGCCUUAUCAACUGUCGAUGGUAGGCUCUGCGCCUACCAUGGUUGUAACGGGUAACGGGGAAUCAGGGUUCGAUUCCGGAGAGGGAGCCUGAGAAACGGCUACCACAUCCAAGGAAGGCAGCAGGCGCGCAAAUUACCCACUCCCGGCACGGGGAGGUAGUGACGAAAAAUAACGAUACGGGACUCAUCCGAGGCCCCGUAAUCGGAAUGAGUACACUCUAAACCCUUUAACGAGGAUCAAUUGGAGGGCAAGUCUGGUGCCAGCAGCCGCGGUAAUUCCAGCUCCAAUAGCGUAU